UAAGCGGAGGAAAAGAAACUAACAAGGAUUCCCCUAGUAACGGCGAGUGAACCGGGAAGAGCUCAAAUUUGUAAUCUGGCGUGCUCCGCGCGUCCGAGUUGUAAUCUACAGAGGUGUUUUCCGCGUCGGACCGUGUCCAAGUCCCUUGGAACAGGGUAUCAAAGAGGGUGACAAUCCCGUGCUUGACACGACGACCGAUGCUAUGUGAUACGCUUUCUACGAGUCGAGUUGUUUGGGAAUGCAGCUCAAAAUGGGUGGUAAAUUCCAUCUAAAGCUAAAUAUUGGCGAGAGACCGAUAGCGAACAAGUACCGUGAGGAAAGAUGAAAAGCACUUUGGAAAGAGAGUUAAACAGUACGUGAAAUUGUUAAAAGGGAAACGAUUGAAGUCAGUCGUGUCGGUCGGGUUCAGCCAGGUCUCCUGGUGUAUUCCCGGCCGGCGGGUCAACAUCAGUUUGAGCCGGCGGAUAAUGGCUGGAGGAAGGUAGCACCCUCGGGUGUGUUAUAGCCUCCUGUCGCAUACGCUGGCCCAGACUGAGGACUGCAGCUCGCCUUUAUGGCAGGGGUUCGCCCACUUCCGAGCUUAGGAUGUUGACGUAAUGGCUUUAAACGACCCGUCUUGAAACACG
rnacentral:rRNA from 1 species